rnacentral:rRNA from 1 species
GCUUAGGAAUCUGCCAUUUAGUGGGGGACAACAUUCCGAAAGGAAUGCUAAUACCGCAUACGUCCUACGGGAGAAAGCAGGGGAUCUUCGGACCUUGCGCUAAAUGAUGAGCCUAAGUCGGAUUAGCUAGUUGGUGGGGUAAAGGCCUACCAAGGCGACGAUCUGUAGCGGGUCUGAGAGGAUGAUCCGCCACACUGGGACUGAGACACGGCCCAGACUCCUACGGGAGGCAGCAGUGGGGAAUAUUGGACAAUGGGCGGAAGCCUGAUCCAGCCAUGCCGCGUGUGUGAAGAAGGCCUUUUGGUUGUAAAGCACUUUAAGCGAGGAGGAGGCUACCUGGAUUAAUACUCUAGGAUAGUGGACGUUACUCGCAGAAUAAGCACCGGCUAACUCUGUGCCAGCAGCCGCGGUAAUACAGAGGGUGCGAGCGUUAAUCGGAUUUACUGGGCGUAAAGCGUGCGUAGGCGGCUUUUUAAGUCGGAUGUGAAAUCCCCGAGCUUAACUUGGGAAUUGCAUUCGAUACUGGGAAGCUAGAGUAUGGGAGAGGAUGGUAGAAUUCC